ACGGUACUUCAGUUGUCGACGCAAACGGAGUUAACUAAUAUCGAAUAACGUAUAAAAUCCGUAAUUAGCUACCCUUCGUAAAUCCAUAUACAUAUUAUAUAGUCAGAUAAACACAUAGCACACAGUUGGACAAUAAACUUUUAUAACUAUUAAAAGUCAAUAUUGAUAAGUUAACAUAUAACAUGUUUUAGUCAACCGUGUCACCUUAUUCUUAUCUAUUUAAUUUCCUUUAACUAGUAAAACAUAUAUAGUUUCUAACAAAAAUUCGACAGCACCUCCUCUAUUUAUCGGACUAUCCACCUGUUUCCUUAUCCUAUUCAACAAAUAACCAACUCAAUCCAACUCAAUAAACCAACAAGUACUGAACCAAUAUCAAUUAAAACACAAUCACGCCUCAACAAUCCACAUCUCAUCUUUAUACUAUAAGAAAUAAAGAUUUCAGGUAUUUAUAUGCAUAUAAUCCCAAAAUCUAAAGUCCUUAAUCCUUGUAUAAUCAUACCUCAUUCAUUCUCAAUCAUUCUCAUACUAUAAGAAAUAUAAUUUUAAUUAUAUAAAUACAUAUACCCGAGAAGUCAAGGCAUAUAUACAUAUUUAUAUAAUCAAAACUUAUCUUUCCUAAUCCUCGUAUGAUCAUCAUGAUUAUUUAUAACCAAUGGAAUAACAUCAACCAUUCCUCGCUGACUGAAUUUAAAUAAUUAGCACACUCUGAAAUCAUAUGAUGAAUCAGAAGUCAAUAGGGAUGGCAGAAAAAACCGAUUCGAAUGGAUACCCGACCGUUUCGACCCGAAUGGAUCUUACCGAACCCGAUAUUUUGGAUUUGGAUUUGGAUUUGGAUUUGAUUUUUAGACCCGAACGAGUUUGGAUUUGGAUUUGGAUACUAGGUAUUCCGUAUCGAAACCCGACCCGAAAUCCGAAUCCGAUCCAAACCCGAUCCAAACCCGAAACCCGAAAAAAAAUCCAAAUAUGUAUAUGUAUAUGUAUAUGUAUAUGUAUACUAAUAUACUUUUUUUCAAUUUUAAAUCUACUAAAUGUUGUUUAUAUAUACAUACGUAGAGUGUGAAUGUGUAUAUUCUUGGGUUAUAAUGACUUUUUUUGUUUAACUAAUGAAUUACUUUAAAAUUUCAUACUUCAUAUAGUGAAGAUUUGUGUUUAGAAAUUAUUAAAUACGUUUCAAGAUUUUAUUAAUGUGUAAUACUUUAUUAUUAAAGUAGUUUAGUUUUAUAUAUAAUGAAAUUUAAGGGCGAAAAAAUCAAAAAUAAUAUUUCUACAAUACUAUAUAAAUUUCGGAAUUCAGGUUUUGGAUAAACCCGAACAAACCCGAACCCGAUCCGAAACCCGUGGAUUUGGAUUUGGAUUUGAUAUCUGAAACCCGAUUGGAUUUGGAUUUGGAUUUGGAUUUUAAAAAUAAUUUGGAUUUGGAUUUGGAUAUCUCAAAUAUCCGAACCGAUCCAACCCGUUGCCAUCCCUAGAAGUCAAUAAUUCAACUUUUUAACAAAAUAUUUCUCAGAGAUCUUUAUAAAUCUUACACAUAGAGAUCAUCACUAUUUCAACCCAAACUCAUAGAUUUAAACUAGCAAAAACAAUUCUCUUUGUGACAUCAAAACCGAAUUUUCACAAGUUUGCGCUAUCGACAUUCAAACAUUUUUAAGAAAUCAAAAAUACAAGUUUUUCACUUGAAAUUUUUAUGAGACCUCCCUUAACUCCCUGACUAGCUACAAAAUAAGUUUUGGCUUAAAAAUCAAAGUUUAAGUAAUUAAACUAUAGUUUAGAAAGUAGAAAAGUGAAGCAGUUUUGUACUCUGCGCAUGCCAUACUAAAACUGUCAUAUCUCCUAACUCGCUAAUCGAAUCGAUUCGAUUCUUUCGCGCACAUAAAGUAGACUCUGAGAAGAUCAUAAAUCUCUGAAAGUCUCAUUUUAAAAAUGAUCUUAAGCUGUUCGAAAAAGAGCUCCAAACAGAGGCAGAGUUGCUGCGAAAACUCAACGAAAAGUGACUCAAAAAUUUAUAAACAAUUUGUACCAACCAUAACCCUUACAAAUUUAUUCAAUUCAAUACAACAAACACAUUACAUAAAGUUUUCUUCCCAACAAAUGCCCCGAAUCUAUCUCCAAUUAAACUCCCUAAUUCAUAUGAACACACUCUGUUCUAAAAGUCGGUGAUUAAUCACGAUUAGUCACCGAUUAAUCCCUGUUCCGUAGCUCGCCGAACUGAUUAAAUCUCCAAUUAAUUAAUGAUUAAUCCGAGUAAUCCCCGAUCAAUUCAAUUAAUCACCGAUUAAUACCUGUUCCGUGACUUCACCGAUUAAGUCUGAUUCCCGUUUUUUACAACACUGUGAACACAUAUACAACAAUUAACUCCCAAUCGAGUAAACAUUACCCCAAUUAGCCUCUAAUCACGUAGUUAAUUAAAUUAAACUUUAAUAACCAAAGCAAUUCUUAACUAAUGCAAGACAAGUAUAUAUACACCCACAUAUAUAUAUAUACAUACAUAGAUAUAGCUGAUUUGGUCUCAAAUUGGCUAACUUAAUCAAUUCAAAUCGUAGUGAAUACAACACAACAUAUAUACACAUACAUAUAUAAACUGAUUUUAUAAAGAAGAAUGGAUUCAUACCCACUGAUUACAAUAGCAGGUGAGAGGGGAGGUGAAUUCGCCGGGAAGAGCAAGAAGAACAGGCGGCAGCGACAAUUUCAGCGGAGCUCAACAGUGGCACAGCGGAGAUGAAGACACAGCAACAUCGGACUCGAACAAAAGAGGGAAGUGAUGUUGUGAAAGAAAAACGAGGUGAUGAUCGGAGUUGUGGGGAGAUGAUAACUGGAGGCUAAGGGAUGAUGAGGGGUGAGGCGGUGAAGUUGUAAUCGGAGAGCGUGCAGAACGAAUUUGAAGCAGAGUGAAUAGGUGUAUACAGUGACUUGGGUACGUAUGUGACUUGGGUGCAGUUUGUGCAUAGUUGCGAAUGUAGUUGCUCAUUCGUUAGCUAGGGCGUCUCAUUCCGAGUCAGGCCUGCAGGAGUGGAUAGAUGUCGCUCCUGAUUUCC
rnacentral:lncRNA from 1 species